GUUAAACCGCUGGAAAACAAAAACAACUCUGUGACCUCUGCUUCUUAUAGAGAUGCAAGAAAUUAUUUUAUGAUCUAAAUCUGUAUCGAUUAUUAUACCCCACUGCUGUAGCCGUAGUCAUCGUAUCGUAUUCCGUACAUACAAGUGGAAGUGUGUUUCUUUUUUUUAAUGAUUCACCUGGCCUUGGACCUGUUGAGAUGCAUAAACAAAUGAUCUCCCGCUGGUGCUUAUGUGAAGGCUCCGGGGGAGUCUCUGAGACAUCUUCAGCAUUUUAAAAGGUUCUUUGUAGAAUGAAUAAACGUAUUCAAUGUUGCUACAUAUUUCUGAAACUGUGAGCAGUGAAGAGACUUACCGAAUCCCAAACUUGGCCUGAAUAUAGUUCCAGAUGGCUCUACGGAGCAUGGAAGUGUCCACACCCAGGUGUCUGGCCAUUGUGUUGUGUUGCACUGAUGAGGGCGGAGCUCUGGAGUGGGACUUCCUGUCGGAGGAGAAACCGUUCCUGCGGGCUUCUUAUCAUGCACUCUCUUCUCCGACUCACUGAAAACCAGACAUUGUGUUGAAAUGAAUUGUUUCAUUUCUAAAGACUCACCUGGAUGCUGGAUGGGUCGAGGAAGCUCUGCUAUCUCCUGGGACCAGUAGUGCUUUAAGCACAUGGGCUGGUGCGCCUCCUCUUUCUGCUGUGUGGCUGGCUGAGCUGAUGCACAGAGACCCACAGAGAAAGAAAUCUAAAACGCUCUUUGCCACUUACAUGCAGAAUGUAGAUUUCAUCAUCAGAACUGUGAGUCCAAAUGAAUAAAAUUCUAAUUACCUAAAGCAUGGCAUUUUUGCUGAGGUCCGUCAGGUCCGUGGGCCAGGACUUGUCCUUAUAUUGAGGUUAAAAUUGGCAUAGUUUUGCAUGUCCAAUCACUUAUUUCCUGUAAGCAGUGACCAUUCAAGAAUCUGUCCUACACCCGGUGCGUUAGGCUGAGACGGUCUCCAAGGGCACGCUGUCACUGUGUUCCUCUGAAAGUUCUGUGAAUGCAGUUAUAUGACUGACAUUUGAGAGUGGCUCUAGCCAUAAAAUGCCAUUUUCAUCAAGACUUAAAUCCACGCCGCUAUCCAUCUCACCAUCAUCUGCUUCAUUAGCCCAAAAAGGUCCCUCAGAAAGCUCCAGAACCUGCAUGGUCUUUUAGACUUUGUGACAUGGAAGUAAAAGCAGACACAUCCAUCUUUUACCAUUCCUGUUGUUUCUUAGUUUUAAGUUGCCUGGCUGUUGUACGCACACCUCCACAGGUUCUGAUUGGACUGGGAGGUGAAAAUACAGACUUGUUUGAGCCGAUAAACUCAGUUUGUGUCUGCAUUUGUCCAAGUCACAUGGAGGCAUAACGUCGCUAAGUUCCAAACUGUCGUUUAUUUUCUUCAAUAUUUCAUACCUUUCCUUACCCUUCACCUGAACGACAUAUAUAUCUUCAUAUAGGUCUUCAUCUUAAACGUUUUUGCAUAAUAAGAGUUAAAAUUAAAAACUACACAGUGAAUGCAAUGAAAUAAAAACCUUAAUUUUAAAAUGAUAAAAUUAGCUUUUGAAUGUAACUUAAAGCCACUUUGCUUUCAGUCAAAUCUCAAGCCUUCUUUGUGUUUUGAUUCAUAUUCAAGGUUAGUAUUUGUAGUUUAGCUACUACUGAUUUAUCUGUAUCUUUUUUAUGCAGUAAAAGAGAGGUGGUCAAACUGGCCUUGUUUCUUUGAGAUGUACAAAGUAGAUCUCAUCAUAAUGAGCCAGUGAGUUUAAAAAUAACUAAAAUAAUAAGUCGUACCUGCUUUACCUGGCCAACUGGCUUUUCUGUAGUCUGCCUUCAGGAUCUGGCAGCAUAGCUGAAUUAAAAAACACACUGACGGUCCGUUACCAUUGAACAAAGCAUGGAGCACAGAUGAUCGAUGUUGCAGUGACUUCAGAUGGCGCUACGGAGCAUGGAAGUGUCCACACCCUGGUGUGUGGCCAUUGUGUUGUGUUGCACUGCACAAACAUAUUCAUUCAUAUAGAGGUUUUUGCCCUAGACAGAAAACAAAUCCCAGAUGAUAGCAAUCCCUAGCAAAAUAGUCCCAUUUGUCGACGUCAAUGCCAUUUCCUACGACUGCUGUGGAUGCUUUUGUUGAAGCAGUCGUGCACGUUGCUGAGCAGGCGUAGUCAGGCCAAAACUGAAAGUAGAAGACCCUUGAAGUCUUCUUCAAGUCCUGAAAUAUGGGCAGAACAAGAAGAAGCUCAUUCAUCAAAUACAUGUGGGUCUGGAAUACUUGCCAUAAAUGCUUUCGUCAACUUGUUUCAUCUGUGGUUCACAUCGCUGUAUUCAUCAGGCAGGCAGGAGAGUUGUCUGUUGUCCAUCAUACGGCCACACCCUGCCGACAAUGUUACACCUGUACCUGGAACAUACAGGGGAACUACAAAAGGACAUGACUGAAUAAGUAUGAAACUCACUCCCCUUUAUGUGUCCCCCUAAUAGCUUCAGUCAGGACCAUAGAAAUAAUUGGGUUAGGCCGGCGACACACUGGAUGCGUGGCGCUUCGGUUUUUAAUUCGGCUCCCAUGUUAACAGGUUAGAGCUUACAGAACGCCUGCGUGAGCCGCGCGGAAAACGCGUGCAUGCUAGAAAUAGAACCGACACCUAUUUUUACCGCGACACGCGCGCGUGUUGGAAGCCUUUCCAGGCAAAAUAUAAUAGGAAAAUGUGUUUUUAUGUCAUUUUGUACACAAAUUUUGUCCUCACAUGUCACCGGCCUUACAUUUUGAAACGUUCUUUGCCACGAACAUGUGGGAUGUACAUCUCAUCUUUAGAAUAAAUGGAGCAUUACACUAAUUGGACUCUAUGCUAGGAGGAUGAGAGACCACAAGAAUACUAUUAAACACAAACAAUACAUUCUCUAAUUGACAAUAUAUCAUUGAACUAAAAAUACACGUCUGAACAGACACUACAUAGAAUAGGUAACGGUACUGCCUCUUGGUUCAACUUCUGCAGCCCCUGGAUCACUGGCUUAACGUCACAGUUAACGCUUCAUUUACACGUGUGGCUGAUGCUGCGCCUCUCUCAACCCCAAACGCCAUCUUUCAUCAGUUUUUUGCACUCUUCUCUUUAAUUUCGGCAGUCUAUAGAACUAGAAAUGUUUUUCAGAAGCAAUAAUCAGCCAAAUUUGCGAGUCCGUUCAGUGCCUCCAAAAUGGCCGAUGACGUGUCGUGAAAACCUCUAUAAACAAACAAACAUGGCCGCACUCAUUUACUUUGAGCGAGUCAAUGGCGGCCAUCAUUUCUAAUAGCGGCUGGUGGAUUUUGGCUCACUUCUCUGCGAAAAAUCAACGAAAACGUCUGGAAUAUACAGAGGGGAGAGUGUUCAUCUCUACGAUUCGAACGAGUUCAGUGCUUCUCGGAAUGGUGGAGAUUUUUGUUUACUUUUUGAAUUGUUUCCUCCCGGGACGAAGAUAGUUUUACCUGCCUAUUCGGUUGGACAGCGCCAUAUUUGUCACAGGUAAGUUAAUGUUUUCAGAUGUAAAGGCUUUACGCAUUAUUUGUGAAAGUUUGUAUCAUCAUUUGACUCUUAUUCUUGUUUUCAUGUCGCACACCAAGGUCAGAUUAUUUUGUUUACAUUCGUUUCUGAUGACAAUUUCUAGUUCAUUAAAGUUUAUUUUUAAAGUAUACAUUCAUUUUUGUUUUGCUUAAAGUUUCUCAAAGCGUUUUUUUAAAACAUUUAUUUAAAGUUUCUCAAAGCGUUUUUUUAAAACAUUUAUUGUCACAUGCAGCAAACAUCUCCUCACUGUCCACUAGCUAACUUACCUUUCCCCGGAACACACUGUUAAAAGACGCAGUCUCUGUCGGCCCAAAAAACAAACUGGGCUAACAGGCAGUUUGAAACAUAACAAAUUGUUCCAGCCAAUAACCACAAGAAGGAUUUGGGGGUGUGGUUAGUGUGCGGGUGAGGAGGAGGGAGGGUCUAGCUAGAUUUUUUUUUUUUUUUUUUUUUUUUUUUUACAAUACUUCGAACGUAAACAAGAAGUGACGUCAAUUAGAGCACCUUUAAGAGUGUUUUGGUGCUGCUGUUUACAUGUGAGUGAUCAGUGUGUUUUGGUUGAUAAUGACUCUUAUUAAGCUCAGAGGAGUCAAUGUGGACUUUCCCUUCACUCCAUACUCGUGCCAGGAGGAGUACAUGAGAAAAGUAAUCGAGUGCCUGCAGAAUCGCUGGGCUGGAGAGAGAACUUAAAAGACAAAAUCUCUGACCGCAAGAUAGCCGAGAGAAUGGACGGUGUGGAGCUGUUCCCUGACAGACCAAUGUCAUCGAGGGGAACAGCAGUCACCAACAAAGACACUCCAACUUAUGACACGGACAUCCCUAAGAUCAUAUAUGCUUCCAGGACCCAUUCCCAGCUAGCACAGGUCAUAAAUGAGCUCAAGAACACAUCCUACAGGUCAGCUAUCUGAGUUAACAUCACAUAUUUAAAGGGAUAGUUCACAGAAAGAUGAAAAUUCUGCCAAAUAUUUGUGUUUUGGGAUCUAGAGAACAGCUGUGCAUAGACCAGGAAGUGAUGCGUCAAGAGAGUAACCACUUUAAGAGAAAAGCACUAAAAAACCACAAAGAAAUCAUGAAUACUAUCAUGGAUGUGGAGGAUCUUGUGAAAACAUGAAAAAGGAAAGGAUUAAAACUGGAUAUCACCACAAUUGCAAAAAUAAAACAAAUGUUGAUGGAUCUGGGAUCUUCCAUUAAUGGUUUUGAGAUGCCAGCAAAUAAUCAAGGAAUCACCAAACCCGGCAGCUUCAUAUAUGAGCUUUUUCAAACGGCUAAUGUAAACUUUGAGAAUAAAACAUCUAUAGUGGAAGCCAUGGAGCAGAUUACAGGAUAUAUAGCAGGGAGGCCUGGUGUCUUUCUGAACACCAGCAGAGUACAGAAAGUAGCAGAUAUUAUCCAGUCCUUUCCCUGUAUCCUUGGAGAAUCUUCAUGUCAUCCAGCCUGAUCAGAUUUCCGCCAGUAUCAUUGAAAAAGGUCCGGACGGCGUGAAGUUGAGCACAGCCUUUGACAGGAGGUUUGUUCCUGAAAACAUGUCG